AAACCGGUGUGCAGUAGGAAUCAGCGUACGUCAACCGGUGUGCAGUAGGAAUCAGCGUACGUCAACCGGUGUGCAGUAGGAAUCAGCGUACGUCAACCGGUGUGCAGUAGGAAUCAGCGUACGUCAACCGGUGUGCAGUAGGAAUCAGCGUACGUCAACCGGUGUGCAGUAGGAAUCAGCGUACGUCAACCGGUGUGCAGUAGGAAUCAGCGUACGUCAACCGGUGUGCAGUAGGAAUCAGCGUGUAUCAAUAGUCGAGCAAACCUCAUCAGACUGGUUUGAAGCAGUAGAGACAUGUACAUUAUGGUCACCGGGCAGCAUUGCAAAAGGUCAAUUUGCAAAAGGAAUAACUACUUUUCUUUCGAAUGUAAAUAUUGUUGACGGAACAUAUUACUGGACUAAUCUGGUGAAGAAAAUCUAUCUGCCGGAUGACGGCUAUACCUUACCGCACGCUGACUUAUAUUUGGGAUGUGGAUACGUCGUCAAGUCCGCGCCAAAUAUCCAAUACGGUGAUUGCUGUCAAGAAAUGGCUGUUAAUUGCGACAACAAUAAUGACAGAAAUGAUAAAGAUCGAGAAAAAGAUGUUCUUUACGAUAAAAGUACUCUCCGAAAUGACAUAAGUCGAAACAAUGCCGUCGUUUGUGUCAACAGUACUGUCUUUUGUGAUCGAGAUAAUAUCUAUGGAUGAUCUGUGCCAAUUACACCAAGUGACGUAUAUUGGUGUUUCUGUCGGUGGAUUCAUUAGUCUUAUCGCAUUCAUCGUAGCAGCAACGAUCAUAUAUAAACGGAGAAACUGCACCAAAAAGGAUUCAAUUAAUGAACGAACGCAUACAUGUGGCAAAAGUGAUAAUUCAAAUGAAAGCCGAUAUGUUAACGUCACCAAUAUUUACACAGAAAUAAAUGAAGCCCACCUGGAUGGUCCGAGAGAAUUUAAUGACAAUGCUAACAGAAUCGAUUACGCAUCUGAUUGCUACUCUGGUUAGGACUAUGAAUCUUUGUCGUCUGCAGAGGACAGAGUGAAUUAUCCGCUGUAUGGUCAAAUGUUGAAUAAUGAACAAAUCUCGGACGACAGGCUCACCGUCGGUUGUGGGUUCAAAGAAGAUUAUCAAACGGAAAAAGUAUAUAAAGGCAAGCGCUAUGAAAAUAUUGAGAUAUAAACAUUAUGAGCACGCGGGCAUUAGCUAGUUAACUCUGAAGCCUGCGUCGAACUAAAUACAUGGUAUGAGGUCGAACAGUUCAAUGUACGGAACAACUUGCUUAUUUAAAUGUAUGUAAUGCCAGCUCUAUUAUUAAGAUUAUUUGUUAAAGAGUUAGAGCAUUAUUUUCAGUGCAACAUUGAUGCAGGCUUAAGUAUUGAUGAUUUUAUUGUAAUUUUGUAAUUGCUUCUUGAUGACAUUGCUAUCAUAAAACUCCUGAGGAAACUCAGAGACAUGUAGAUUUUUCAUAUUGUUGUACGUAUAACAACAAAAAAUGAAUUUCCGAAAAUGUGAGGCGUUAUAAGCAAACGAAAAAUGGAUCUAUAAAAGCCAACUUAU